AAUUGUCAUAGCAAUUGGCUGAGGAAUCAAUGAGCGGCUCGAUAAUAUUUAUCAAUUUUUCGAUGAGUCGGUUGUAAUUCUCGCUACAAAAUCGUCGUCAGUUUUAUGGAAUUCCAAAGCAAAACAAGUGAAUUUGAGAUUUGCGAGAGUUUUUAGAACGCUGUGCGACAAGGGUCCAAAUCUGGUGCAAAUCGAGGGUCCGGACCAUGAUGAAGCUCAAGGAAACGACAAUCGCCGCGGUCGGGGAAGAAGGGGCAACGACCCCCGUGGUUUACGGGGUGCCCGUGACAGGGCUGCUGCUGCACAUCGCAACCCCGAAGAACCUACGGGUCGGGGUCGAUGACGGUGAGCAAAGAUCAUCGUGAUUCUAUAAAUUGCAAUCAAGGGACGACGAGGUCUCAUCGUUGGAGUACAGAGAUGGACAACGAUUGCUUCGGAGUCGCAUAACUUAUGCAAAAAAAAAUCGUACGGAAAAUUUGAGAAACGCCUUCGAAAGGGGACACUUCAACCUUCAGAAUGACAUCAGAAGAAUUCAAGUCCGAUUACUGGAACACCUCGUGCACCUUUUCAAAGUCAAAAGUUGACUUCACGUUUUCGACGUGACUUGAGUCAAGAGGAUGUAAGUAGUGAACAAAUGAGGGUAAUUCAAAUCGACACAAAGCAUCUGAAAGGUGAAGCUACGAGCUUCAAAAUUCUGUUUUCUUUGCAACUUUUUACGUCAAUUUCUCGAGCAGUUAUAAGGCUUCGAAAUCGGACGUUUUUCGGAGCGAAAACAGGGUGGCCGGCUAAUUGUUGUGCGGAGUGUAUCCAAAAACGUCAACGACGAUUACCGAAGACUCAGCAAUACGAGCAAUUUUCUGUUAACGUCAUCAGAAAGUGUAUAUCUUUCUGCAAAUUCUUAACCCACGUAGAUCCAUUUAGCUUUAACCUUUCCCGAAAUCACCACUCGUACUUUGAAGCACUUGGGCGCCAUGUUUUUUUGAAUUUUUGAGAUUUUCCAACGGGGACAUUUUGAGAAAUCUUUGAGGAACCUCUCUGAAUUCUUUCGAAUUUUUCGAAUGUUUUUCUAACGAGCUGCGACGUUCCAUAGUUAACCUACUUCGAUUAACUCUGAAAAAACCACGUUUUUUGACCUUUCGGUUGUAAUGGCUCACUACCGUCAAAUCGGGGUGAUUUGGGAUGAGGUCAACACAAAACUGUUGGUUCA
rnacentral:misc_RNA from 1 species